CCAAUUGCCCAGUACGAAUAUAGAUACACAAAAGAUAUACAACUGAUAUACGAAAAUAACUGAGACAAAAUACUGAACAAAGCCUCAAGUGUAAAUACUGACGAAAAUAUAAUCUUUAAAGAUCUGAAUGGAAUAUAUCUGAAUCAACAGAAUUGACGAAACCAAAAGAAGAAUAAAGAAAUAACGAACUGAAGUAACUAACUCAAUGAAUUGAGCUGAAUAGAAACAAACAAAACUAAUACAAUGAAAUAAUAGGCUGAAUCAAAUGGUUGAGUAUUUUUUCAUACCGAAUGAGCUCAAAAAUAUACCUUGCCACCCAGGCAAGUCAAAAUAAUGCCACACAGACAAAUCAAAUGAUGCCACACAGGCAAGUCAAAAUAAUGCCACACAGGCACUCACACAUUGGAUCGCGAAUCCAAAUGUAUGCAAAUCAAAUAGGUGUGCUUGGCACAACAUCACCAAUCCGCAGAACAGAAAACUAGGGUUAACCCAUACGCCUCCCACAACAUAACACCAAAUGGCUCACUUCCUUCGGAGCCCAAAACGGAGACGCCGUGGACUAAUCACACCGCCACGGAAAGUGUCAUGUCUCUCGUGCCAAGACGACAUGCCUGUGGUACCCCUACAGGUGGUUAUAGCUCAGGUAUACCCUACGGUAUAUUUUAACAAAAAUACCAUGUCACAACACAUGCGACAUAAUACCAACAAAAGGGUUCUAAAUGUACAUGUUAAACUGAAUCAAAUAAUAGUCAUAAGGUCUCAAAAAGAAGGUAGCAACAUGUACCGCUCUACAAAUAUCAAAAAUAAUUAGUACUAAACAUGAUAACCUAAUUCAAAGAGUACAAAUACGAGUCAUAUGUAUCAACUCAAAAAUGAAACUAAUAUAUUUAUUUCACAAGAAACAAUUAUGUGAAAUUAUAACAGAAUUCGAAAUAAGGGAACAAAUGAACAAAUUAAAUUUAACAAGAGUAUCACUGAAAGAGUACGGAAUCCGUACCUGGAUUAAUCCGUCCAUGGACAUAACCUGUGUAACACCAUCUUGAUUACAGGGUAGAAGGGGAAAAUAUGGAUUUUGAUGAUAAUCAAAGUUGAACCUUCAUAUUCAACAAACAAUAAAGCUAUUAACUUCACUAAUCAGAAUCCUUCAACAGAUAACAUGUGUACUUCUUAAAAAAAAAAUACAAACUUGUCAGACAAAAAAAACAAAUUGCCUUAUUGCAUUGAUGAACUAGCCUCAACUGCAGUUCCUUGAAAUACUCCGAUUGUUGGCUUGGAUUUUUUUUUUAUAAUGCUUUUAAAGAAAACAUACAGUGUACUACUAUUACAUCAUAUACAUGCUCUCCAUAUGUCUAAAUCAAGCUGCUAAAGUCGGACUUAAUUGGAAUGUAUAAUCAUCCUCUAUUAAAAACAUAAUCAACCAAUCCAUAUUAUGUAAAUAUGCUGAACCCCACUUGCAACAGACCAACACUAAAUAUAAAUAAAAAAUUCCCUUUCCACAAUCAGUAUUUGUGUCAACCUUCUUUUCCUAAUUUACUUGCAUCAAACAAAUUUUAGUCACUCAGAACAUCUCUUUAAGUUAAAACAUCAUAACUUGUUUAACAAGCACGAAUUUCAAGGUCAAAAAAAAUGUCAGAAAAGUGUCUUCACAACCAAAAAAAUAAAAAUAACACCCAGAACCAAAACAAGUUUUAUUAUUCCAAACAUCAUGUUGAUUUAAUUUAAACCUAUUACUAAUUCAUCAAGCUCAAAUUUACCAUCAAAUCACCCCCUAAACUCAAAAGCCAGUAUACUAAUCACCUCUUAAUCUAUUAACCCAUUAUAAGUUUCUAAAUAUGCAACAAUUAAGUAAUACCCACAAUUAAAGCGAAUCAGAUAACCUUAGCAGCACCAAGAGUGACAUAAACUGGAAAAUCAGAUUGUAGAACAAUUGGCAACUAGUAUUUGCCAAAUAAUUUCACAAUUAAAGAAAAAAAAAACCCACUUUCAGAAACCAAAUCGAACAAAGGAAAAAUCAGAUACAGUAAAUCGUAGAAGCAGAGUAUGAGGAAAACACAAAUAUUUUACCUUUAAUGGCGAUGGUGCCCCGAGAGUAGUCGCUAGAGUCGCCGCACCAAGAGACCAAAUUCUUUGUCGAGUUAUAUCGAAUUUCUCCUCUUCGAUUUUUUUUUCUACCGCCUCGCCUACUUCUUUUUUUCUUGUGCCGCUUCACGCCCAAACUUCUUUCUUACGUUUGUAUGAGAUAUAAUACAGUGCAGUUAGGUUUUAUUUAUUGUCUUAUUAUUUCUCCUAAUUAUAAUAGGAUUUAUUAUUACCCACAUUUAAUUAUAUUAAACCCAAUAAAUUUUAAGGCCCAGAUUGUACUAAAUUAAUUUAUCCAUCUCUUAUUAAUACUUAUUAGACCACACAAAUUAAAUAACUAGUUUGACCCAAAUAAAUGACAGUCUAAUUAAUAUGUUUUAAAACAAAAUAAUUUUUUUUUUAUUUAAUAUUUUUUUCCCGGGUAUUACAUCACCUACCCCUUAAAAAGGAUUCCGUCCCCGGAAUAUAAAGAAUGAACGCACCAAUUUUUCAAAGAGAUGCGGAUACUCCGCUCGAAUAGACUCCUCUAUCUCCCAAGUAGCUUCCCGCUCUGAAUGAUUUUACCACAAGACUUUAACAAAAAGAAUUAUCUUCCUCAAUUUCCAUUUAAUCAGUUAUUUAAUUAUCUUCUAAAAGAAUUUAAUUUUCCAAACAAAACAAGGAAGAAAAGAGGGAAACAAAAUCAUUUACCUUUUCUAAUUUAAAUACAAUUGUAUAAGAUAAAAUCAAUUAAUAUUUAAUUAUAAAAAAAAUGGGUUACUACAUUUUUCACCCCUUAAAAAUAAUUCCGUCCUCGGAAUUCAAAUAGGCUACAAAAAAAAAUUAUUUAGUUACGACGUAGCGCCGCCAUUUGUAACGAUCAACGCGGAUAGGUCAUCGAUCCACGUAAUUAUCAAUGUACUUGUAAAAGAUUCAUCAGCUAUCGUGUCAAGCCUUGGUAAGGUUCUUCGCGUUGCAUUCAAUUAGAUCACAUGAUCCACCGUUGGUGCGGGCCAUCGCUAAUAUCUUUGAGUUUAAUUCUUGUAAACGUACUCUUCGGAACAUAAUUCGAAAUCACAAAAAUUUCUCUUCAUCUAAAUACGAUUUGAAUACCCAAAAUAUUUAAAAUUAUCUUUAAUUCGUAAAAUGUUUAUGUUCCACACAUGACGAAGAUCUAAUAAAUUAUUUUUAUUUAAUUUUACAUAAAUUCAUGCAAAACUCUAAGGGCAUUAGAUAAACGAAACAACUUAAAUUAUAUCACCUCUCACUAAGUCCUCAAGAGUUUCAAAAUAUAAUAACCUCAAAUCAAAUUAGUUCUCAAAUAAUAUUACACCAAAAAUAUAUUACUACUAAGAUCUCUUCAUCAUCAUACCAAACUCCAAGUCACAUAUUCUACCAUCUGCAUAAGUGAACUACAACCAUUCAAGAUCUCCAAUAAUCAAUUGAAUUUCAUCACUUACUAUCUAAUCAUAUAAUAAAUCAAUCAUCUCCCUUAUUGCAAACUUUAAUCCAAUAAAUUUCAAUGUCUCCCCAUACCAUCACAAAGAAACUUCGUAGAACAUAACUCCAAUAUUUUACUAGAAAGAAAAAUAGCCACACAAUUGAUCAUUAACUCCAAAUGAUUAAUCUAAUUACCUUGAAUAUCAACAACUCAAAUUACAAGAAAUCCUCUAUACUUAAAAUUUUUCACUUUACCAUAGUAUGCCAUCAAUACACAAACCUCAAAUUAUCCACAAGCUUAAUAUAAAUCAAAACCUAACUCAAAUCAAAUCCUCAAUUCAACGACCAUAAUAACUGUCACAAAAAAAAUAACUCUAAAAAAAAUAAUUUUCCAAAAAAUCAAAUACUCGUCGAUACAAAUACUCACAUCAUAAUCACAUUUCAUAUAAGAUCACUUCUUAUCUGUACAAAGUAUAACUUUAUUUACCUCAAUCAUUAAAUCACAAUUCUUAACUAAUAUCAUUACUCGAUCACCUUAACUAAUUAUUCCACUUUCCUCAAAUUAACUACAAAUUGAAAAGAAAACGACAAUUGGUCAAAAUAGAGACCAACCAAACAAAGAACAUAAUCGAACCAAACUCCUACGUCUACCCAAUGGUUUACCCACAACUCACAGGUCAAACCUAAAUAGGUUUUCUACAAGAAAGAACUUGGCUCUGAUACCAUCUCUGGAACACCCCCAUCCCGAAAAGGAAAGGGAGGUCACGUGCAAAGCACAACAAACCUCAAAAUAAGUAAAUAGAGCACUAAUAACUUCAAAAUAUUAAUAAUGGUGAUCCAUUAAUAAAGUACUAAAUACAAUUCUCCAACUAAAGUCAAAAAAAUCAACACACAAAAAAAAUUAAAUUGAAUUAACCUAGAUGGUCAAAGGCAACAGUCACAUCACACUAGCCAUAAAUCACCCUUGCAAACCUGCCAGAAGAAAAACACAACAUGAGCCAAUUGCCCAGUACGAAUAUAGAUACACAAAAGAUAUACAACUGAUAUACGAAAACAACUGAGACAAAAUACUGAACCAAGCCUCAAGUGUAAAUACUGACAAAAAUAUAAUCUCUAAAGAUCUGAAUGGAAUAUAUCUGAAUCAACAGAAUUGACGAAACCAAAAGAAGAAUAAAGAAAUAACGAACUUAAGUAACUAACUCAAUGAAUUGAACUGAAUAGAAACAAACAAAACUAAUACAAUGAAAUAAUAGGCUGAAUCAAAUGGUUGGGUGUUAUUUCAUACCAAAUGAGCUAAGAAAUAUACCUUGCCACCCAGGCAAGUCAAAAUAAUGCCACACAGGCAAAUCAAAUGAUGCCACAUAGGCAAGUCAAAAUAAUGCCACACAGACACUCACACAUUGGAUCGCGAAUCCAAAUGUAUGCAAAUCAGAUAGGUGUGUUUGGCACAACAUCACCAAUCCGCAGAACAAAAAACUAGGGUUAAUCCAUACGCCUCCCAUAACAUAACACCAAAUGGCCCACUUCCUUCGGAGCCCAAAACGGAGACGCCGUGGACUAAUCACACCGCCACGGAAAGUGUCAUGUCUCUCGUGCCAAGACGACAUGCCUGUGGUACCCCCACAGGUGGUUAUAGCUCAGGUAUACCCUACGGUAUAUUCUAACAAAAAUACCAUGUAACAACACAUGCGACAUAAUACCAACAAAAGGGUUCUAAAUGUACAUGUUAAACUGAAUCAAAUAAUAGUCACAAGGUCUCAAAAAGAAGGUAGCAACUUGUACCGCUCUACAAAUAUCAAAAAUAAUUAGUACUAAACAUGAUAACCUAAUUCAAAGAGUACAAAUACGAGUCAUAUGUAUCAACUC
rnacentral:lncRNA from 1 species